ACGCGGUUCCACGCGGUUUUUUCCUGGA
rnacentral:sRNA from 1 species